rnacentral:rRNA from 1 species
UAGGGAAUCUUCCGCAAUGGACGCAAGUCUGACGGAGCAACGCCGCGUGAGUGAAGAAGGAUUUCGGUUCGUAAAACUCUGUUGUUAGAGAAGAACAGCGCAUAGAGUAACUGUUAUGCGUGUGACGGUAUCUAACCAGAAAGCCACGGCUAACUACGUGCCAGCAACCGCGGUAAUACGUAGGUGGCAAGCGUUGUCCGGAUUUAUUGGGCGUAAAGCGAGCGCAGGCGGUCAAUUAAGUCUGAUGUGAAAGCCCCCGGCUCAACCGGGGAGGGUCAUUGGAAACUGGUUGACUUGAGUGCAGAAGAGGAGAGUGGAAUUCCAUGUGUAGCGGUGAAAUGCGUAGAUAUAUGGAGGAACACCAGUGGCGAAGGCGACUCUCUGGUCUGUAACUGACGCUGAGGUUCGAAAGCGUGGGUAGCAAACAGG